UGCUACUGCAUGCCUCCUAGAAUAGGCGAGUAGCAGCACAUCACUCGCGCAGCUUCGUCCGUGCAGAUCGGCCUCGUCUGCUCGUCUCCCUCAACAACCGGCAGCCUCCCCUCUUCCGGAUCAAGCACCACAUUUUCCGUUCGUUUUCUUCACUUCUUGUUGAGAAAACAAUACUUCUUCGUCGUCGUCGUCGUCCCCGCCGCGGCAUCGACUGAUUCCGAGGACCGAUGAGCUACUACAACCCGCACGCCCCUGUCGGCGCCCCUCCGCCGCAAGGUGAGACGUGCCAAUCAUCAUCCUCCUCCUCCUCCAAGUUUUCAAUUGUGUUCGUCAGAGCCUGUUAAAUUACCCGUUUCAACGGGCCGUCGUGGAUGCCAUGCUCCCAUCUGUUCUUUAUUCUAUGCUGCAUCACGCGCACGAAAUCUCGUUGACAUUGCGUUAUUAUAAGAACUGUCGGGAACUGUCGCCGACCGACAGUUUGCACGAAAUCGGUCAUGCGUUUCUCUGCAGCAUUUGGCAUUUUUAAAAUUGGGACGAUUGCUGAAUCGCUUUGCAGUGACACUGACAUGAACUGCGUGGUCGCGGAUCGCAGGGUACCCGAUGGACCCGUACGCCAAGCCGAGCGGCGUCGAGGAGAGCCAGCACC
rnacentral:lncRNA from 1 species